rnacentral:tRNA from 1 species
UAUAUUUAGGUGUAUGAUGCACAAGGAAUUUUGAUUUCCUAGGACUUAGUUUAAAUCUAAGAAGUAUAA